CUCUUAAGAUUGAGCUGUGAUGGGGAGAGGAACUUGUUCCUCGAGUCGUUGAUUUCACACUGCCGAGAAAAGCCUCUAGCUAGAAUAACGGUGCCCGUACCGCAAACCGACACAGGUAGUCAAGAUGAGAAUUCUAAGGUGAGCGAGCGAACUCUCGUUAAGGAACUCGGCAAAAUGACCCCGUAACUUCGGGAGAAGGGGUGCUCUUUGAGGUUCACGCUUCGAAGAGCCGCAGUGAAUAGGCCCAAGCGACUGUUUAUCAAAAACACAGGUCUCUGCUAAACCGUAAGGUGACGUAUAGGGGCUGACGCCUGCCCGGUGCUGGAAGGUUAAGAGGAGUGGUUAGCGCAAGCGAAGCUACGAAUCGAAGCCCCAGUAAACGGCGGCCGUAACUAUAACGGUCCUAAGGUAGCGAAAUUCCUUGUCGGGUAAGUUCCGACCCGCACGAAAGGCGUAACGAUUUGGGCACUGUCUCAACGAGAGACUCGGUGAAAUCAUAGUACCGGUGAAGAUGCCGGUUACCCGCGACAGGACGGAAAGACCCCGUGGAGCUUUACUGUAGCCUGAUAUUGAAAUUCGGUACAGUUUGUACAGGAUAGGUAGGAGCCUUAGAAGCGUGAGCGCUAGCUUACGUGGAGGCAUUGGUGGGAUACUACCCUAAUUGUAUUGGAUUUCUAACCCGCAGCACUUAUCGUGCUGGGAGACAGUGUCAGGCGGGCAGUUUGACUGGGGCGGUCGCCUCCUAAAGAGUAACGGAGGCGCUCAAAGGUUCCCUCAGAAUGGUUGGAAAUCAUUCAUAGAGUGUAAAGGCAUAAGGGAGCUUGACUGCGAGACCUACAAGUCGAGCAGGGUCGAAAGACGGACUUAGUGAUCCGGUGGUUCCGCAUGGAAGGGCCAUCGCUCAACGGAUAAAAGCUACCCCGGGGAUAACAGGCUUAUCUCCCCCAAGAGUUCACAUCGACGGGGAGGUUUGGCACCUCGAUGUCGGCUCAUCGCAUCCUGGGGCUGUAGUCGGUCCCAAGGGUUGGGCUGUUCGCCCAUUAAAGCGGUACGCGAGCUGGGUUCAGAACGUCGUGAGACAGUUCGGUCCCUAUCCGUCGUGGGCGUAGGAAAUUUGAGAGGAGCUGUCCUUAGUACGAGAGGACCGGGAUGGACAUACCUCUGGUGUACCAGUUGUCGUGCCAACGGCAUAGCUGGGUAGCUAUGUAUGGACGGGAUAAGUGCUGAAAGCAUCUAAGCAUGAAGCCCCCCUCGAGAUGAGAUUUCCCAACUUC
rnacentral:rRNA from 1 species